UACGUAGGGUGCAAGCGUUGCCCGGAUUUAUUGGGCGUAAAGAGCGUGUAGGCGGCUUGGUAGGUCCGCUGUGAAAACUCGAGGCUCAACCUCGAGAUGUCGGCGGAAACCACUUGGCUAGAGUCCGGAAGAGGAGAGUGGAAUUCCCGGUGUAGCGGUGAAAUGCGCAGAUAUCGGGAAGAACACCUAUGGCGAAGGCAGCUCUCUGGGACGGUACUGACGCUGAGACGCGAAAGCGUGGGGAGCGAACAGG
rnacentral:rRNA from 1 species